ensembl:lncRNA EIF1AX-AS1 EIF1AX antisense RNA 1
CAUACCCGGAUCACUCCCCUUUGUAUUUUAUUGCCAUGUAAUGGGAUGUUCUUUAAAUUCUCUGUUGAAUGAAUGAGACUAGGUCUGAGUGUACAACAAUUAAAGUGACAUCAACAUUCUUUAAACCAGAGUUGUUUUGGAGAAAUUCCCAGAGAGGCUCUUUCUUAAGACAUGAGGCUAGGGAACUAGAUGUGAUUUAGUGUAGAAGUCCUAUCCCCUUGGAACCAAAGCAGAACCUAUUAUUCACUAAGGGUGGAGUCGACAGGAGAGCUUACAGCCUGGUGGAAGAAUUGGAAAUCUUAUUACUAGAAAUAAAGGUGAGAAUAAGAUGGAAGUGAUCCCCUUACCACCUCAGAGAGAAUAAAGGAUUAUACAGAA